AUGUGUAGGAUAGGUGGGAGGCUUUGAAGCGUGGACGCCAGUCUGCGUGGAGCCAUCCUUGAAAUACCACCCUGGCAACUUUGAGGUUCUAACUCAGGUCCGUCAUCCGGAUCGAGGACAGUGUAUGGUGGGUAGUUUGACUGGGGCGGUCUCCUCCUAAAGAGUAACGGAGGAGUACGAAGGUGCGCUCAGACCGGUCGGAAAUCGGUCGCAGAGUAUAAAGGCAAAAGCGCGCUUGACUGCGAGACAGACACGUCGAGCAGGUACGAAAGUAGGUCUUAGUGAUCCGGUGGUUCUGUAUGGAAGGGCCAUCGCUCAACGGAUAAAAGGUACUCCGGGGAUAACAGGCUGAUA
rnacentral:rRNA from 1 species